rnacentral:rRNA from 1 species
CUGGGCUCGAACGGCUUAAGAACAGCUGUGGAAACACGGCCUUCCCGCAAGGGACUUGAGUCGAGGUGCUGCAUGGCUGUCGUCAGCUCGUGUCGUGAGAUGUUGGGUUAAGUCCCGCAACGAGCGCAACCCUUGUCCUGUGUUGCAACUAAUAGGCACUCUCAGGAGACCGCCAGCGAUAAGUUGGAGGAAGGUGGGGAUGACGUCAAGUCAUCAUGGCCUUUAUGUCCAGGGCUACACACGUGCUACAAUGGGCGGUACAAAGCGCUGCCAACCCGCGAGGGGGAGCUAAUCGCAAAAAACCGUCCUCAGUUCGGAUCGCAGGCUGCAACUCGCCUGCGUGAAGCUGGAAUCGCUAGUAAUGCUAUAUCAGAACGAUAGCGUGAAUACGUUCCC